AACAUUGCAGUCCCCUCGAGAACAUGCUCGAUACCUCAGAACUCAAGAGAUUAAAGCCCCUCCCCUCCUUGGCUUCAUUUUGGGAGUUCAAAGAAACGGCCACCGGAUCCCCGUGGACGGCGCAUUGCGUGGAGAUGACGUGAUUCAUGUAUAUAUGGCUGUAAGACAGAUAUGCAAUCUAUAUCAGCAGAAAUAAUGUGGAUACUAGUUCUGCACAGGACAAAGAAAAGUAUUUGGACUGAAGGAUAUAAUCGAGGCAUAUAAAUCACAAUAACAGUUCGUUCAGACAACAGAAUGAACAUGAUGCUGGAUAGUAUAUCAUAUUGAAGUGUUCAAAAGCUAGGACAGACACCUCUGUAAGACUUAUACUUACAUACCUUUCGAGUUCUUGCAGGUCGAUUCUUCAUCAUUGCCUUGGCACGGAUCUGUCUGCGCCUAAUGAUUCCAUGAUAUUGCUUUGCAUUCACAUAAAUUGGUUCAUCAUCUGUUGUUAAUCUCAUUGGCAGCAUAACCCGACCCUAAUUAUUGCAAAUGGUUAAGUUUUUGCUCAUAGAUUAGGCAGACUGACCUUUUCCAGAUAGCUUACAAUGAAUAGCAGAACCUAAUCAACAAAUAUAUUGUUCAAAGAAAAUUACUUCUCUACCAUACUUCAUUACAUGAAACAUUGAGUUGUGUUUCCUAUUAAUUUUUUUGGCAGCAUUCAUCUAGGAGGCCUAAAUGUGUCAUCUCCUUCGCACCAUUUCUGGUUUUUGGCUAUAUUGUAUUGUUUUCCACUCCCCAUUUUGAUUUUUUUGCAUACAUAGCUCUGCCUAUGCAGCUAUCUAACUCUUUUUUUGUUGGAAAAUAUCUAUGAAUUUAAGACAAUUCACAUUGAAUACAUAUAAGGAAAAAAGAAUGUAAAAAGGAAGUGGUUGAAGAAUGGAAGGAAACAUACUGGUAUUUGAGGUCCAUAAGCUGAGAGGAUGCCAUAAUGCUGUUCCAUGGGCUGGCCGAAUCCGAGCUCGAAAUGAUUGUGAUAUUCUGACAGGGAAAAAACUGGUGAAGGUUUUUGUGCCCCCACAGAAUUCUUAGUGUCACCUGCAUGGAUGUUUCAAGAGGAGUUUUCUCAUCGGAUAACAAGCUCACCAUUAUGAUUGACAUUUUAACUCAGCCAGCACAAAAAGAGAAAAAGGUAAUAGUCUUCCUUGAGUUUCAUGCUACUUUCUUUCCCUCUUGUUUCAUAAACAUUGAGAUUUUAGCUAAAUCCUUGAUGAAGUAUUGGCUAGAAAAUAAUAUUCUGAAGGGAUGGUAGAAAUAUUAGUUGAGGAAAA